rnacentral:rRNA from 1 species
AGAGUUUGAUCAUGGCUCAGGAUGAACGUUGGCGGUGUGCCUAAUACAUGCAAGUCGAACGGAGUUAAUAGCAAUAUUGACUUAGUGGCGAACGGGUGAGUAACGCGUUGGUGAUCUGCCUCGAAGUGUGGAAUAACGUUCCGAAAGGAACGCUAAUACCGCAUGUGCUCUCGAUUUUUAGAAACUUGAGAGUAAAGGAUUUAUUCGCUUCGAGAGGAGCCUGCGUCCCAUCAGCUGGUUGGUAGGGUAACGGCCUACCAAGGCUAUGACGGGUAGGGGACCUGAGAGGGUGGCCCCCCACAAUGGAACUGAAACACGGUCCAUACACCUACGGGUGGCAGCAGUAGGGAAUAUUAGAAAUGGACGAAAGUCUGAUCUAGCAACACCGCGUGUGCGAAGAAGGCCUUCGGGUCGUAAAGCACUUUUUGGAAGGAAUAGGAAGGAAUGUACUUCCGGAAUAAGUCUCGGCUAACUACGUGCCAGCAGCCGCGGUAACACGUAGGAGGCAAACGUUAUCCGGAUUUACUGGGCGUAAAGCGCGUGUAGGUGGUACUGUAAGUAGGGCGUGAAAGCUCCCGGCUCAACUGGGAGAGGCCGUUCUAAACUGCAGAACUAGAGGAUGGUAGAGGGAGGUGGAAUUCCAGGUGUAGCGGUGGAAUGCGCAGAUAUCUGGAGGAACACCAGUGGCGAAGGCGGCCUCCUGGACCAUUCCUGACACUCAGACGCGAAAGCUAGGGUAGCAAACGGGAUUAGAGACCCCGGUAGUCCUAGCCCUAAACGAUGUAGACUAGGCGUCGGUGGUUUAAUCACCAUCGGUGUCCAAGCUAACGCGAUAAGUCUACCGCCUGGGGACUACGGCCGCAAGGUUAAAACUCAAAUGAAUUGACGG